GCCCUGGUAGCUCAGCCUGGUAGAGCGUCGCCUUGGUAAGGCGGAGGUCGCGGGUUCAAAACCCGCCUAGGGCU
rnacentral:tRNA from 1 species